GGAAAUUUGCUCUCACUUAACAUAAUUUUAUUGGCAUGCAACAAUACCAAAGGUGUGACGCCCCCGAUUUGACCGUACACUAAUCAUGCACGCAAAUGUGUACGAUCAAGAUCAGGGACCCACGGGAAGAUAUCACAACACAACUCUAAAACAUAAAUAAGUCAUACAAGCAUUAUAAUACAAGCCAGGGGCCUCGAGGGCUCGAAUACAAGUGCUCGAUCAUAGACGAGUCAGCGGAAGCAAUCUUAUCUGAGUACAGACAUAAGUUAAACAAGUUUGCCUUAAGAAGGCUAGCACAAACUGGGAUACAGAUCGAACGAGGCGCAGGCCUUCUGCCUGGGAUCCUCCUAACUACUCCUCGAAGCCGAACUCCAGGUAGAAUCAUCCUCGGGAUCUCUAGCUCCUGGACUCCAGCAUCUGGUUGCGACAAUCAAGUAUACAAAGGGGAAAAGAGGGAGAAAAGCAACCGUGAGUACUCAUCCAAAGUAUUCGCAAGCAAGGAGCUAUACUACAUAUGCAUGGGUAUAUGUGUAAAGGGGCAUAUCAGUGGACUGAACUGCAGAAUGCCAGAAUAAAAGGGGGAUAGCUAGUCCUGUCGAAGACUACGCUUCUGGCCAUCUCCAUCUUGCAGCAUGUAGAAGAGAGUAGAUUGAAGUCCUCCAAGUAGCAUUGUAUAGCAUAAUCCUACCCGGCGAUCCCCUCCUCGUCGCCCUGUUAGAGAGCGAUCACCGGGUUGUAUCUGGCACUUGGAAGGGUGUAUUUUAUUAAGUAUCCAGUUCUAGUUGUCAUAAGGUCAAGGUACAACUCCGGGUCGUCCUUUUACCGAGGGACACGGCUAUUCGAAUAGAUAAACUUCCCUGCAGGGGUGCACCACAUAACCCAACACGCUCGAUCCCAUUUGGCCGGACACACUUUUCUGGGUCAUGCCUGGCCUCAUAAGAUCAACACGUCGCAGCCCCACCUAGGCUUAACAGAGAGGUCAGCACGCCGGUCUAACCCUAUGAGCGCAGGGGUCUGGGCCCAUCGCCCUAUGCACACCUGCACGUUGCGUACGCGGCCGGAAGCAGACCUAGCCCCCUUAAUACAAGCGCGAGCUUACGGUCCAAUGCGGCGCGCGCCACUCAGUUGCUGACGUCAAAAGAGCUUCGGCUGAUACCACGACGUCGGGAUACCCAUAACUACUCCCACGUAGAUGGUUAGUGCGUAUAGACCAAAUGGCCAGACUCAGAUCAAAUACCAAGAUCUCGUUAAGCGUGUUAAGUACCGCGAACGCCGACCAGGGCCAGGCCCAUCUCUCACCUAGGCGGUCUCAACCUGCCCUGUCGCUCCGCCACAAAGAUCCACUCGCGGGUACUCCUACGAGCCGACCCGACUUUAGUCAUCACAUGUGUCAUGUAUAUAGUAUAUAAGUAUAUACCCGUGAUCACCGCCCAGGUGAUCACGGCCUGAUAGUAUAGCACAACAGACGGACAAGAAUGUAGGGCCACUGAUGGAAAACUAGCAUCCUAUACUAAGCAUGUAGGAUUGCAGGUAAAGGUAACAACAGUAGUAGCAAGGAUAGGCUAUGCAUCAGGAUAGGAUAUCGAAAGCAGUAACAUGCUACACUACUCUAAUGCAAGCAGUAUAGAGAAGAAUAGGCGAUAUCUGGUGAUCAAGGGGGGGNNNNNNNNNNNNNNNNNNNNNNNNNNNNNNNNNNNNNNNNNNNNNNNNNNNNNNNNNNNNNNNNNNNNNNNNNNNNNNNNNNNNNNNNNNNNNNNNNNNNNNNNNNNNNNNNNNNNNNNNNNNNNNNNNNNNNNNNNNNNNNNNNNNNNNNNNNNNNNNNNNNNNNNNNNNNNNNNNNNNNNNNNNNNNNNNNNNNNNNNNNNNNNNNNNNNNNNNNNNNNNNNNNNNNNNNNNNNNNNNNNNNNNNNNNNNNNNNNNNNAGGGGUCGUCAACUCCGUAGUCGAACUGGGGGUCACCGGUAGUCUCGGGGUCUACCGGAAAGAAGUAACGGAGGGGGAACAUAAUAAAUAACAGAGCAAUCAAAGCAACACAAAGCGUAACAUGACAAUACGCGGUGCUAGGUGUGCCCUAACGCGGUAGUAGGUGAUACCGACGAAGGGGGGAAACAUCCGGAAAGGUAUUCCCGGGGUUUAGCGUUUUCGGACAGAUGAACCGGAGUGGAAAGUUGCGUGUUUGCUAUGCUAGGGAGGUGUGGCGGACGAACGGGCUGCGUAUCCGGAUUCGUCUUGUCGUUCUGAGCAACUUUCAUGUACAAAGUUUUUUCAUCCGAACUACGGUUUAUUUUCUAUGAUUUUUCGAAGUUUAAACAAUAUUAUGGAAUUCCUGAAAAUUGGCCAAGUCUGAGAAUUGUUCAGUUUUUUUCUUAAACUUCACUUGGCUGUUUUCCGAAGGCUAUAACUAACGUUAUGUAGAUCUAAUGAAGACACUACAUAUAAGUGUUUUACUCUAUAUCAACAACACUACAAGGCCAUGCCAUUAGAUAGCCUGAACAGCUUCUGUAACAGGUCCAUUUACAACUCUGAAGUAGUUAAGACAGUAAAUCUGUUUUUCAGUUUUCUCUCUUAACAGAACAUAGACUUUUGUCAUUUUUAUAGGAAUUAAUCCAUGCCGUAUUUGAAUUUGGUCCAAUGGAAUAAUUUGGAGGUUGUCAUGUGUACUCCCAACACAAAUUAAUUUCAAUGAAGUUAGACUUUGUUUGACCAUAGUUUUGUUGCCAUCCAGAGAGCUAAGAAGGUAGAAAUAGCAAAAGCUAGCCAGCGCUACAGUAACAUUCAGUUACUGUAGCAGUGGCAGCAAAGCAGCGAAACGCAGCGGCAGGAGCGGCCGCAAGCGCGGGCGGGCAGCUGCGGGAGUGGGCACGCGCGCGGACGGACAAGGGAGGCCACGGCGGUCAGGCACAGCGGCUAACGGCGCACGGGCACCGGCAGCAGCAACAACAUAGAGCAGCGGCAGCAAGGAGCAGAGAGCAGUAGCGACAAGCGCGGGAACAGCGGGCGACGUGCGCAUACGGCCGGGGCGUGGCGGCCACACGCGCAGACGGGCGCGUGGCAAGGCCCAGGGCGCGGCCAGGGAGCAGCAGUGAGCAGACCGUAGCAGUGGCGGCUCCAGCACGCAUGUACGCGUACGCGUACGCGGGGGGUUCGGACGAACUCGGGGACGGCGUCUACAGCAACGAAAUCGACAGGGGGAGAGGGGGUUUUGGAAGAAGAGCUCACCACGGUUCCAACGGAAGUGACGAGGAGGCCUGAGGUGGACCGGAGACGAGGCAAUCGGCGACGGCGGCCGGCGAUGUACGCGAAUGACUCGAGCUUGAUGGCGAGCGUACAGGCCCUCCCGGCUUGAUUCAAUGGUCGGGGACGAAGGAGACGACGACGAGGAUGCUUCAAGACAAAUUCGUACGACGCGGGGAGCAUGUUGGCCGUGAUGGCGUCGACGGCCAUGGCGUACGCGAGCUCGGGCGAGCGGGCGCGUCGAGGGAGAGCGAGGCGCGGCGCGAGGAGGAAGGGGGAAGAGGCAGGGGCGUCCUAGGGUUCGAGGGGGAGGGGCGCCGUGGUCUUGUAGGUGAGGGGGAGCCGGCAGAUGGCCUCCACGGCGUCGGUCGGCCGACGGAUGGCCUCCACGCCCCCUGCCCUCACUGUAGCGAGGUAGCAGGAGGGAUGGAGGUGGGCUGCUGGGCCAGCAGGCCAACUGGGCCAAGUGGCCCAGGGGAGGGGAGGGGCUUUUCUCUUCCUUUUUUUUAACGUUUACUUUUAUUGUAUUUUAGUUUCCUUUUUUUUUGUAUCUUAUUUCUUUUCUGUUUUAUUUUAGUUACAUCUUUUUUUAGUUUUGUAAAAUGCCAAAUGAGCACCUAAUUUAGUAUUAAUAAUUAGUCCACUGCCACAAUUAACUUGGCACCUAAAAUAAAAUAUUUUGUAAUUGUUGAGUAUUAAAGUAUUUAAAUAAUAGUUUUGCUACUGUUUUAUUACCAUUUGAUAUUAUUUAAACAUUUUAUAAAGGUGUGGUUUCUCCACAAUAAUUACCUAUGCAUUAUUGGGCAACACCCCAACAUUUUAGUUUUAAUAUUUGGAAACUUUUGUUGUUUGCCAUAUUUUGAAUUUGAAUUUUGAUCCGGUUUUGAACUAACGCGAGAUUAUCAACUCUAACAGAGGUGACGUGGCAUCAUUAGCGUAGGUUUACUGUAGCAUAAUUAUCCGGGCGUCACAAUUCCCCUCCACUACAAGAAAUCUCGUCCCGAGAUUUAAGAGGGAAGUAAAGGGGGAAGGUUCGGGUUACGAAAUUCUAGGGAGUGUUCUUGGUCUUGGUGGUUCUUCUCGAAGAGAUUGAUCCAUUACAUUGAUUUCUUCAUUCUGCUGUUUCAGGUCAUCAUGAUAAAGCUGUCGUCCUUUCUUCGAGAACUCCAUCGUACUUACGAAUAGGUAAGGGGCAGCUCUACAACGACAGGAUGUUAUAAGGGAAAAUCAUCUGGGGGUAUCCCAAGAAUGAACAUAUGAGUAUCUCUCGAGUUGAACAAAGGAAACACAUCGAGAGCAAACUAGGACAGUGCAAUAAGAAGUUUCGAGCGGAUAGGCAAUCGUUCAUUUCCUGAAACAGAGUGUGAAAGGGGUUCAAAGCAAUCGGAAUAAGUAUUAUGUCUGGUACCAGUAUAGAUCACUAGGCAGGUGGCUCGUGAGUUACAUAAGAAGUCAAGCGCGAGGAAUAACUUUGGAAACCGGGGGUGUACAGGAGAGUCACGUUUCGAUCCUGUGGAACUGUGGGUUAUGGGCCCACCAUGUGGUUUUUUUAUAGGAACAGUGACAUCUUGCACGGUCAUGAUAGCAAGGCAUGUCAGGGAACACCCUGUCAGUUAUGUCGGCAACACGUUGGUACCAAGGGCGAGGGACGAAGAGAACCAUUUUCCUGCUCGUUCAAACGAGGCGGACCAUUAGGCAAAGUUCUCGUCCAUCGGUGGUUACCGAAAUGUCACCAACAAUAGUAACAGGGUCUUACUGAUAGAGUUGUACACCGAGGUGUUUACAUAAGCAGGAGAAUAUUACUGCUUAGAUCAUAUAGAUCACCAGAAAGGUUAAACCAAACAAUGAAAAGGAAAAUAUGAUUAUCAGAUUAAACAGAAGAAUGGAAAGGAAAAUGUGUUUAAACACAUAUUUCAGGGGUAUAUCCUUCCCAAGGACAAGCAGCGUAUCAUAUCCAUGACAGGAUAGAAAGUAGAAAACCAUUUAGGUAAGGGGAGAGGAAUUUCAUGACAUCACCCAUACAACGGUGUUUGGAUAAUUGAACAAGAAACAUUUAGUAUUGGGCUUCAAAUGUUCUUGUUGAAAAUCGGAGUACCAUAGACAUGCUUUGAGAUAGCAUUGACAUGGUCAACAGGUGAAGAUCAGAAUUUGGAAACAAAAAGGAUCCAUCAGGAACAACUUAUAGAAUAAGUCUUACAAUUUCCUCAUGGAAGAAUAGCUAACCUUGCUAAAAAGAAAAACUUAUAACAAUAGGUCCUCCCGCCAGGUGUGCUGGGUAUCAUCACCUUAUUGGGUCAUAGUAGACCAGUGUUAUAACUCUUGGAAAAAUGUUCCAACCAUCAUAUAUGACCGAGAUUCAGAUAUGAACGGUGUUUGGAUACCUCAGACUCAGGAUGCCUGAGAAGAAAGGUGCAAAACAAAUUGACGAGACGACAUUGUAAGAUCCUCGGGAAAUGAAGUAUGGAAGCGAGUUCUGAACAAGGGUCCAUCAUUAAAUCAAGGGGAGGUGAGGAGGUGACUGAUUGACUCAGCGACAAUCCGUUGAGAUCUCCAAAAGAUGGAUUUCCCCAACUAUAUCAACAGGGAGAUAACAUAGCUAGAUCGAAUGUCUUAAUGACGUAUGCUCGAGGAAAACAUACACAGUUAAACAUUGGUUGAAAGGUGCACCCGAAAUAUGGGCUAGGUAGCACGAUCAAUGUUCGAAUGAUGAUUCAUUAAGCCAUAGACGUAGACUGAAACUAUAGGCCAAUAACUUCAAAGCAUUAGGGUUGCUAGAAGUUUAGAAUUUACACAUCACAGACCAUUUGUCGGUAUUUCGUUUAGAAACAACACGGGGAUCAGAUAACAAAUAGAGAUGGCGAGAAGUAUUACUAUAUCAAGAAUUCUCAAGAGGUGGAGAAAUUCUCACAAUAUCCUUGACAUAAAAGAUGGUAAUACUCCAAGGUAGAACAUAACAUAGGCUGGUUAGCAAGGAGCUCCAUAAUUUGAUCAAGUUUGUGAUGAAAGGAAUGAAAGGUUGUUGUCGAUGGUAACUCAAAUUACCAAGGAACGAGGAUGGCACUUAUCAUCAAGAAUUCCAUUGAUAUCCUGGAAGGAGUCAAAAUGUUGAUGAUGUUCACGGCAAAUUUUGUCAAGAGGCUCCACGAAGAUGUAAUCGAUCGGCGAUGACAUCAAGUCAAAGGAAUGAUGAAGCGAUAGGUUAAUGGAACCAAGGGGAAGGCACAAACUUGAAAUCAAGCCUGUUGUUCAAGGCGAACUAAUAUGACGAGGAAGAUCGACGUAAGCUUAGCUCAUCACCGAAAGUUGUGUUCCGGGAAGGACCGGGUAGCACAGUUAAAAGUUUGCACGAUAAUGAUAUAGCCGAUAACGCUAGGAAUGACUUGAAGGAUUAUUACACUCGUAAGCAACAAGAAUUACUUAGAGUUAUUGAAUCGGAGUGCGGAAUCGAUUCGCUUAUCGGUGUUCUCGAGUGACUAAUAACUCAGAGCCCGUGGAAAAUUGGGAUCAGUGAGAAUGUAGCACUUGAUGAAGAACUCAUAAGAAGUUAUGCAGUUCCAUGAUAAUCUCGAGAUACCAGGGGGUAAUACUCGAUGACAGAUCAAGGUAAAGGUUGGACUAGGGUAUUGCCCUGCAAAAGACAAGUGCUCAAACUUGCACGAGAAACAGAAUCAAGGAGAAACAUGGUCGGAACCACGUCCACGGAUACCAGAUGAACUUAUUACAAGGGGGUAAUUAUUAUAAGAGAAGCUUCCAUGAUAGGAUCUACAUCGUGCCCAUGGGCAUGAACUCAAAGGUUCAAGGUCGACUCCCACUUCUUCAAUGCAUAACCUUCCAUUCGCCUCUCGUAUUUUGAUAAUGACAUUAGUUGUCGAAAGUUUUACCUGGUGCACUACCAGAUAAGUAUGUCCCGCAAAAUCUUUCAGGUUCUCACAGAUUAAGGAAGGCAUAGUUUCAACCCAUCGGGGCAUCGUAGAAAGAUAUACUACAAACUUCAGGAGUAAAUAACACAAGCUCAAAAGUAGAGCAUGGUUGACAAAGCAGAGGAUACAAUUUACCAAAGGCAUUAUGUAUCCGAGGAAAAGCUCACAGGCUUAUUGAAUAUGAAGGGCGCUGUCGGAUAAAAUCCAACAAAGGAUCUGGUGGUCCACAAGGGAUCUGACGUGAGCAACGGUACUCCACCAGAGGAAGAAGAAUGCAAGGGGAUCAGAUUAUAGAAACAACUGACUAACUCAAAGCUCAAAGGCAAAGGGAUUAUGAUUUCCAAAUCAAGGGAUCCGAAGCAAUGCUCUAAUUAGGGAUGGAUAAGUUGAAUAGCCUUAGGGAUACAAUCGACAGUAAUUUGAUUAGUCGAGAACCAGCUCCUGUUCAAAUGACAUCUGAGCCGGAAGGAUGAAUUCUAGGAUUCGACUGAGGAAUGCGAGCAUCGCAACAUAUAGAAUCAACAGACUCAAAAGAUAAUGACAAAGGAUGCCAAUAGGAUUACCAGACUUAUGGGAUUAAUCAUAAUUAAAGCAAGCAAGAAAUUCCAGAGCAAUAGGUUGCUGAGGAUUUUCGGAAGAUUGAAUGGUAUUUCGAGACUUUGUGAAAUACAUGAAUCAUUUGGGGAUGAGCAGAUACUCGGUAAGUGCGAGGAUUAUCCGUAGGGGUAUUCAGGUGACAAAGAACAGCAAGGUAGUAAGCUCAAAGGAUUCUCGGAACAACAAAGAGAAUUUCGGGGUAUCUUGUAAUAACAAGAUCAUCUGGGAAACAUUGUAUGAAUGGCGAGUAUACGUGGUUAUCCAUAGGAGUUUAUCGAUGAAAGGGAAUUGCAAAAGCGAUGAACACAAGUUCUCGGGUUAUCAGCGUAGAGUAUCUUCAGGGUCUUCACGUGCAACACACGAUCAUCAGUAAUAAGGGGCUCUCCGGGUGAAAGUGAUAACGAGAUCCUAAUGUUAGAUUUAGUAAAAUCAUUUAACCCGAAUAGAAGAGAGAUCAGAGUCCCAGAGUAUAGGCAAGGAGUAAAAGAUCCUAAUACCACCCAAUGGCGACGUGGGCCCGUAAGCCACAUAGCCAUGUUAGUAAAAGUUUUUCAAUGACUAGACUCGACUUCGGCCAAGGAGUUGGAAAGGGGACUCCUACAGGCAGUCGGCUCUAAUACCAACUUGUGACGCCCCCGAUUUGACCGUACACUAAUCAUGCACGCAAAUGUGUACGAUCAAGAUCAGGGACCCACGGGAAGAUAUCACAACACAACUCUAAAACAUAAAUAAGUCAUGCAAGCAUUAUAAUACAAGCCAGGGGCCUCGAGGGCUCGAAUACAAGUGCUCGAUCAUAGACGAGUCAGCGGAAGCAAUCUUAUCUGAGUACAGACAUAAGUUAAACAAGUUUGCCUUAAGAAGGCUAGCACAAACUGGGAUACAGAUCGAACGAGGCGCAGGCCUCCUGCCUGGGAUCCUCCUAACUACUCCUCGAAGCCGAACUCCAGGUAGAAUCAUCCUCGGGAUCUCUAGCUCCUGGACUCCAGCAUCUGGUUGCGACAAUCAGGUAUACAAAGGGGAAAAGAGGGAGAAAAGCAACCGUGAGUACUCAUCCAAAGUACUCGCAAGCAAGGAGCUAUACUACAUAUGCAUGGGUAUAUGUGUAAAGGGGCAUAUCAGUGGACUGAACUGCAGAAUGCCAGAAUAAAAGGGGGAUAGCUAGUCCUGUCGAAGACUACGCUUCUGGCCAUCUCCAUCUUGCAGCAUGUAGAAGAGAGUAGAUUGAAGUCCUCCAAGUAGCAUUGUAUAGCAUAAUCCUACCCGGCGAUCCCCUCCUCGUCGCCCUGUUAGAGAGCGAUCACCGGGUUGUAUCUGGCACUUGGAAGGGUGUAUUUUAUUAAGUAUCCAGUUCUAGUUGUCAUAAGGUCAAGGUACAACUCCGGGUCGUCCUUUUACCGAGGGACACAGCUAUUCGAAUAGAUAAACUUCCCUGCAGGGGUGCACCACAUAACCCAACACGCUCGAUCCCAUUUGGCCGGACACACUUUUCUGGGUCAUGCCCGGCCUCGUAAGAUCAACACGUCGCAGCCCCACCUAGGCUCAACAGAGAGGUCAGCACGCCGGUCUAACCCUAUGCGCGCAGGGGUCUGGGCCCAUCGCCCUAUGCACACCUGCACGUUGCGUACGCGGCCGGAAGCAGACCUAGCCCCCUUAAUACAAGCGCGAGCUUACGGUCCAAUGCGGCGCGCGCCACUCAGUUGCUGACGUCAAAAGAGCUUCGGCUGAUACCACGACGUCGGGAUACCCAUAACUACUCCCACGUAGAUGGUUAGUGCGUAUAGACCAAAUGGCCAGACUCAGAUCAAAUACCAAGAUCUCGUUAAGCGUGUUAAGUACCGCGAACGCCGACCAGGGCCAGGCCCACCUCUCACCUAGGCGGUCUCAACCUGCCCUGUCGCUUCGCCACAAAGAUCCACUCGCGGGUACUCCUACGAGCCGACCCGACUUUAGUCAUCACAUGUGUCAUGUAUAUAGUAUAUAAGUAUAUACCCGUGAUCACUGCCCAGGUGAUCACGGCCCGAUAGUAUAGCACAGCAGACGACAAGAAUGUAGGGCCACUGAUGGAAAACUAGCAUCCUAUACUAAGCAUGUAGGAUUGCAGGUAAAGGUAACAACAGUAGUAGCAAGGAUAGGCUAUGCAUCAGGAUAGGAUAUCGAAAGCAGUAACAUGCUACACUACUCUAAUGCAAACAGUAUAGAGAAGAAUAGGCGAUAUCUGGUGAUCAAGGGGGGGGGCUUGCCUGGUUGCUCUGGCAGGAAGGAGGGGUCGUCAACUCCGUAGUCGAACUGGGGGUCACCGGUAGUCUCGGGGU
rnacentral:lncRNA from 1 species